AACGUGCUGUCCCUCCAGAGCAUGGAUAUGUUCAGUCAGGCAUUUUCCGAACCUGGCUAAUGCAACCCCUUAUGUUUUCUUUGGGAGCUCUGCUAAACCCGCUCGUCACAGAUGUGCGAAGUGUGAUAGCGUCCAUCCCCCUGCACCUCAUUAACGUUUCCUCCUGUGCAAGUGUGAAAAUGACUGGAGAGAAAAGAGGAAACUUAAGGUGCCAGGCUGGAGAAGACAUGGGCUCCCUCUUCUGCAGCUGAUUUGCCACUACAAGCAGUAGCCAAAACCUUCCCCCUCCUCUGGGAGCCCCGGGCUCCCUGCCAGGCUGAGCACGAUGUUCCCAGCGAUGCAGCGGUGGGAGCCCUGAGCCGGGUCAGUAAAGGAGGAGGAGGUCAUGGAAACCUGUUUCCAUUAUGGUCCUUGUAAAUAGCCUUCCAGAUUAUCUUCUUGAUUAUCGUGCCCUACCUGUGCUGUUUCCAUCUCUGAGGAGCUGAGCGCUUUUAAACCUUGCAGCCCCACCCACGUGGCACAAAGUACCUGCAGGGGCAGAGGGCCAGCAGGAACCUGGCUCAGGGAUGUCAGUGCCUCUGGAAGAGGGGUUCUCCCCCUCUCAGGCAAUGCCUGACUUCCUAAGAGCACUACAUGAAGGAGGGAGGGCAGAGCUGGAGACUA